GUGACAGCACGGCAAGCCAGUUGAUAACAAGAGACGUUGUUAUAUAUAUAGUGUUGCGCUUAUUUGUUUGCUAACAGUGCUAUCUUGCUGACCUGCUGUAAGCUGUAGACGAUGACGCGUGCCUGGCUGGUGCUUGCCGUGUGUGGCGUGGGGACGUUCCUGUCGACGGCGUCCUUGACACCAGAGGGACACCGUGUUCGGAAACGUGACGCCACAGUCGUCUACAACCACGGCGUUGUCGUUGUCGAACCGGGCAACUCGGAUGACGAUGAUUCCAGCGAAGAAACUGAGGAAGAAUCACAUUUAAAUAUCACGAUGAUAGACCAGGUUAGCAAUUU